ACUAUAUCCCCAACCCCUGAAAUGGCUUUAAAGUAUGCUCAAAAAUCCAUAUUCUUCAAAUAGUGAAACUUAAUUACCCUACUUUUAGGAUGCGUUUAAUAUGAUAAGUUGUGACUUCCAAGGGUGCAUCAUAAAAGAAAUCCUCCUCGUUUCUCUUGGAUCACUUGCUGUGGGGAAAACCAGCUGACAUGUCCUGAGAAUGCUAAUAUGGAGAAUGCCAAGAUACUGAGAACUUCUACAAACAGCCAAUGAAAACCUGGCUUAUAUGAUAAACCCUUACUUCAGAAUCCUGAGUCUUUCUACAGAAAGGCAUUUUACAAAAGUAAGAGAGUCUAUGUAAAAGCCCACGGUGAAUAAAAAUGAUGCUGGCUACAUGGAAAUUAUUAUUAUGCAACAAUUGCUGAAACAAAUAUUUAGCGAGCAAAUCUUUAUGAAAGAUAUAUGUAG